GACGGGGGGGGCAAGUGUUCUUCGGAAUUACUGGGCGUAAAGUGUGCGCAGGUGGCCGCGCAAGUCGAGUGUGAAAUCCCCGAGCUUAACUUGGGAAUUGCGCUCGAAACUACGUGGCUCGAGUGUGGCAGAGGAAGGUGGAAUUCCACGUGUAGCGGUGAAAUGCGCAGAUAUCGGGAGGAACACCUAUGGCGAAGGCAGCUCGCUGGGACGUUACUGACGCUGAGACGCGAAAGCGUGGGGAGCAAACAGG
rnacentral:rRNA from 1 species